rnacentral:rRNA from 1 species
AUUAAUAUUUUAUUUAAUAAAUUGAUUUAUUUAUGAAUUUAGUUUAAUAGAAAUAACUUAUAUUUUAGGUUGAGUAAUGUUUAAUGAACCUCUAAGUGUUAUUAAUUAUUGAUAGUUUAUUUUACUGUAAAGUAGUAUUAGUUAAUUAAAUGGAAGUAGAAUUUGUUUUUUGUACCUUUUGCAUCAGGGUUUAUUAAUUUUUAUCAAUUAUUAUAUUGAUUUUCCCGAAAUUAAAGGAGAUAUCUUAUAUCUGUUGGUUAAUGUUUCAUAAUUAUUAAUAAGAUUAAGAUAGGGGUUAUAUGCUAUUCAACUUUAAAUAUCUGGUUCCUUAAUAAUUAAAUUUAAUUUAGGAUUAAAUGUUAUUUAUUGUUCUAAUUGAGAUUGGAUAUAAUUACUUUAAUCUAAUAUUAUAGGGGAUAAGCUCUUUAAUAUUUAUAUAUCAUAAUAUUAUUAUAUAGUUAGGUAAUGUAGAAUUAGUAAUGUUCAUCAUUUAUUUUGUUAUAAUUAAUCCUGCUAUUGGAUUUUUAUUUAUUAAAUUGAUUAUUUGUUUAUUAAGGUUCUUUAUUUAAUGAAUAUGUAUUGUUAAUAAUGAUAGAAUUAGUAUAUUUGUAUAAAUAGUAUAUAGUAACUCGGCAAAUUUGAUGUUCACCUGUUUAACAAAAACAUGUCUUGUUGGUAAAGUUUAUAUCAAGUCUGACCUGCUCAAUGAUUUAUAUUUAAAUGAUUAAAUAGCCGCAGUAUUUUGACUGUGCAAAGGUAGCAUAAUCAUUUGUCUUUUAAUUGUAGGCUUGUAUGAAUGGUUUGAUGAAAUAUCAGCUUUCUUUAUACUAUUAUUAAGUUUAGAAUUUAAUAUUUGAGUUAAAAAGCUUAAAUGGUUUCGGAGGACGAGAAGACCCUAUAGAAUUUUAUUACUAAGAUAUUUAAUGUGAUGUAUUUUACUUUUGGUUUUUAUUGAUUAAUUUACAUCUUUUGUAAUUUUGUUGGGGUGACAGGGAAAUUUAUUUAACUUUCUUUAUAUAUUAUUUACAGAUUUGUAUAUUUAUGAUCCUUUAUUUUGGAUAUUAAGAUUAAAUUACCUUAGGGAUAACAGCGUAAUUCCUUUGGAGAGUUCAUAUCGAUAAUGGAGUUUGCGACCUCGAUGUUGGAUUAAAAUAAGUUUUAAGUGCAGCAGCUUAAUUACUAGGUCUGUUCGACCUUUAAUAUUUUACAUGAUCUGAGUUCAGACCGGCGUGAGCCAGGUUGGUUUCUAUCCUCGAGUAUAUUGAAUAUUUACUUUAGUACGAAAGGACCAAGUAAGUUAUAUAUUAUAAUUUAUAACAUGAUUAUUAAUAAUGUUAAAUUAAGAAUUAAAGG